AGUUACAACUGAAAUGUGGCACUAAAAUACCAAUAUUGGCACAUUUCAUCAGAAUAAUUUGCAACACAAACUCCAUAGUCUUUCACAAUGGAUUUACAAUUCUUCCAAUGCACGGCGUGCGCAAACACGCACACACACAAUAAUAUUAUUACGUGAAAUAUUAUUGCACACACAUAUAAAAUAAACAGGGUUCUAACGAAAUGUCCAUAUCAACAAUCGAAAUGACUGAAAAAUGCAGUUCAAAACAUUUAAAAAGUGUCUCAUCAAAACAAAACUCUAGCUUGAUAAAUCAAAUGCACUCAAAUGGAUGUUGUCUGUUCUCAUGAUUCAACAGUAGCCGAACCUGCAAAUUGCAAAGGAAAAUACAUUUAGUCCUACCUUGUAAAUUAAGUACAUAUGUCUGUCCUUCAACAUGGAAAAUAGUUUGAGGUGCAGUAGUGUCCAUCUGUCAGGUGACAUGUUGUUUUUGUUAGCUAGCUAGCUUUGUUCAGUUCAGGGGAAGAUGCGAGUGCCAAAUUAUGUAGAUGUGACCGGUGUAGAUUGCCUCUGAGCUGUGUUUUGAUUGGCAUACAUAUGACCAAAGGAUCAAGGUUGAUGUUGAUCUUUUAUUCUCUGAUAAUGACAGGAAAUUGUAUAUUGUGAUAUGUACACUACCGUUCAAAAGUCUGGGGUCACUUAGAAAUGUCCUUGUUGUUGAAAGAAAAGCAAAAAACAAUGUCCAUUAAAAUAACAUAAAAUUUAUCAGGAAUACAGUGUAGACAUUGUUAAUGUUGUAAAUGACUUUUGUAAUUGGAUUUUUUAAGGAAUAUCUACAUAGGCGUACAGAGAAACUGAAGAUCUCGUACAACACUGUGUACUACUCCCUUCACAGAACAGCGAAACACUGGCUCAAACCAGAAUAGAAAGAGGAGUGGGAGGCCCUAGUGCACAACUGAGCAAGAGGACAAGUACAUUAGAGUGUCUAGUUUGAGAAACAGAAACAAGUCCUCAACUGGCAGCUUCGUUAAAUAGUACCCGCAAAACACCAGUUUCAACGUCAACAGUGAAGAGGUCACUCCGGGAUGCUGGCCUUCUAGGCAGAGUUCUGUCCAGUCUCAACAGUGAAGAGGUCACUCCGGGAUGCUGGCCUUCUAGGCAGAGUUCUGUCCAGUCUCAACAGUGAAGAGGUCACUCCGGGAUGCUGGCCUUCUAGGCAGAGUUCUGUCCAGUCUCAACAGUGAAGAGGUCACUCCGGGAUGCUGGCCUUCUAGGCAGAGUUCUGUCCAGUCUCAACAGUGAAGAGGUCACUCCGGGAUGCUGGCCUUCUAGGCAGAGUUCUGUCCAGUCUCAACAGUGAAGAGGUCACUCCGGGAUGCUGGCCUUCUAGGCAGAGUUCUGUCCAGUCUCAACAGUGAAGAGGUCACUCCGGGAUGCUGGCCUUCUAGGCAGAGUUCUGUCCAGUCUCAACAGUGAAGAGGUCACUCCGGGAUGCUGGCCUUCUAGGCAGAGUUCUGUCCAGUCUCAACAGUGAAGAGGUCACUCCGGGAUGCUGGCCUUCUAGGCAGAGUUCUGUCCAGUCUCAACAGUGAAGAGGUCACUCCGGGAUGCUGGCCUUCUAGGCAGAGUUCUGUCCAGUGUCUGUGUUCGUUUUCCCAACUUAAUCUUUUCUUUUUAUUGGCCAGUUUAAGAUAUGGAUUUUUCUUUUCAACUCAGCUGUGCUAACAUAAUGGCAAAAGGGUUUUCUAAUGAUCAUUAGCUAAUACAACGUCCUAUUGGAACACAUGAGUGAUGGUUGCUGAUAAAUGGGCCUCUGUACAGCUAUGUAGAUAUUCCAUUCAAAAUCAACCAUUUCCAGCUACAAUACUCAUUC